rnacentral:ncRNA from 1 species
UCAAAGUUUGAUUCUUGCUUUCUAUAUACUUUAGUAAUAAAGAACAUAUUUAAAUUUUUGUAGGACAAAAGACUAUUUGUUUAAAUAUCUAAUAGUGUGAAAAAUUUAAAAUAAUAAAUAAAGUCGAAGUGUGAGAUAUUAAUAUUAUGAUUGAAAAAUUGAAUUAGUAAUUAUUUUUAGCUCUGACUAAAAAUUUGUGCCAGCAGUCGCGGUUAUACUUAGAGAGUGAGUAUAUAAGUGUUGAUUAUUAGUUAAGUUAAUAUAUUUAAAAUUUUCUUAUCUGAGUUAAUAAAAGGUGAAAUUAGUUUAUUAAAUAUUAGUUAAGAAAGUUUUUAUUAUAUGCUGAGGCUAUUUAAUUUAUGGGAUAGACUAGGAUUAGAUACCCUAUUAUACAUAAGUUUAAUAAUAAAAUAUCAGAUUAUUUUUAGUUAUGUUCUUAAAAAUCAAAGAACUUGGCGGUACUUUAGUCUUGUUAGAGGAACCUGUUUUAUAAGUGAUAAUCCACGUAGUAUCUUGCUUAAUCUUGUUUGUCAGUAUGUAUACCGUCAUUAUUAGAUAAUUCUUAUAGGAAUGAAUUAUUAAAAUAAUUUAAAUAAUUAAGAUAUUAGAUCAAGGUGCAGCUAAUGGUUAAGUAAAAAUGGGUUACAAUAAUUUAUAAUUAUAUGGAUUAAUUGUUGAAUAGUAAUUAUGAAGGUGGAUUUAAUUGUAAUUUUUAUUUUAAUAAGGAGAAAUGAUAAUAGCUCUAGAUUAUGUACAUAUCGCCCGUCGCUUUCACUACAAGGUGAAAUAAGUCGUAACAUAGUAGGUGUACUGGAAAGUGUACCUAGAAGAGA